rnacentral:rRNA from 1 species
AUUGAACGCUGGCGGCAGGCCUAACACAUGCAAGUCGAACGAGUGGCGGACGGGUGAGUAAUGUCUGGGAAUCUGCCUUAUGGAGGGGGAUAACUACGGGAAACUGUAGCUAAUACCGCGUACCAUAGGAUGAGCCCAGGUGGGAUUAGCUAGUUGGUGGGGUAAAGGCUUACCAAGGCGACGAUCCCUAACUGGUCUGAGAGGAUGAUCAGCCAAACUGGAACUGAGAUACGGUCCAGACUCCUACGGAAGGCAGCAGUGGGGAAUAUUGGACAAUGGGCGAAAGCCGGAUGCAGCCAUGCCGCGUGUGUGAAGAAGGUCUUCGGGUUGUAAAGUACUUUAAGUGGGGAGGCGUUACCAGCAGAAUAAGCACCGGCUAACUCCGUGCCAGCAGCCGCGGUAAUUC